UCGCUGUGAUGACGUUUAUCCGCCAUUCGUAGUUUCCACCGGAGGCUCAGGCCAAAGACGGGUCAAUCUUCCUUGGAUGUCUGAGCGA
ensembl:snoRNA SNORD14 Small nucleolar RNA SNORD14